rfam:Salmo salar isolate Sally breed double haploid chromosome ssa09, whole genome shotgun sequence.
CGGCAGGUAGCCUAGUGGUUAGAGCAUUGGGCCAGUAACCCAAAGGUUGCUGGAUCAAAUCCCCAAGCUGA